UGACUCGUAGCUCAAUAGUUAGAGCGGCGGUCUAGAUACCCGAAGAUGCGAAGAUGCGAGUUCAAAUCCCGCUCGAGCCAA
rnacentral:tRNA from 1 species